rnacentral:misc_RNA from 1 species
GAUGAAGAACGUAGUGAAAUGCGAUAAGUAAUGUGAAUUGCAGAAUUCAGUGAACCAUCGAAUCUUUGAACGCACAUUGCGCCCCUUGGUAUCCCGAGGGGCAUGCCUGUUCGAGCGUCAUUUCACCACUCAAGCCUGGCUUGGUGUUGGGCGACGUCCCCUUUGGGGACGCGCCUCGAAACGCUCGGCGGCGUGGCACCGGCUUUAAGCGUAGCAGAAUCUUUCGCUUUGGAAGUCGGGGCCCCGUCUGCCGGAAGACCUACUCGCAAGGUUGACCUCGGAUCAGGCAGGGAUACCCGCUGAACUUAAGCAUAUCAAUAAGCGGAGGA